UACGGGGGGGGCAAGCGUUGUUCGGAAUUACUGGGCGUAAAGGGCUCGUAGGCGGCCAACUAAGUCAGACGUGAAAUCCCUCGGCUUAACCGGGGAACUGCGUCUGAUACUGGAUGGCUUGAGUGUGGGAGAGGGAUGCGGAAUUCCAGGUGUAGCGGUGAAAUGCGUAGAUAUCUGGAGGAACACCGGUGGCGAAGGCGGCAUCCUGGACCAUUACUGACGCUGAGGAGCGAAAGCGUGGGGAGCGAACAGG
rnacentral:rRNA from 1 species